AGUUUCAUGCUAUAAUAUUUUCAGCGAAAGUUAUAAGACGGUGGUGAAAACCUAUAUGGAGGGAGUGAUGCCUAUGUUGCAUUACUUAAUAACUAUCCCGAAAGAAAGGAGGAUUCACCCGCCUAUGAUGCUCAUAGUUCAUUGGUUGAGCGAAUUAGGUGCGAUUCUUUGUGCAUUAACUGGUGUCGUGAUAGUUUUAGCUAGAUUAAUUUCUGCUAUUACUUAUUGUGA
rnacentral:ncRNA from 1 species